rnacentral:rRNA from 1 species
CGGGACGGGUGAGUAACGCGUGGAUAACCUGCCUCACACUGGGGGAUAACAGUUAGAAAUGACUGCUAAUACCGCAUAAGCGCACAGUACCGCAUGGUACAGUGUGAAAAACUCCGGUGGUGUGAGAUGGAUCCGCGUCUGAUUAGCCAGUUGGCGGGGUAACGGCCCACCAAAGCGACGAUCAGUAGCCGACCUGAGAGGGUGACCGGCCACAUUGGGACUGAGACACGGCCCAA